AGGAUGAACGCUGGCGGUCUGCUUAACACAUGCAAGUCGAACGGGCUCUUCGGAGCUAGUGGCGGACGGGCGAGUACGCGUGAGGAUCUGCCUUCAGGAGGGGGAUAACGACUGGAAACGGUCGCUAAUACCGCAUAUGCCUACGGGUGAAAGAUUUAUCGCCUGGAGAUGAACUCGCGUCAGAUUAGCUAGUUGGUGGGGUAAGAGCCUACCAAGGCGACGAUCUGUAGCUGGUCUGAGAGGAUGAUCAGCCACACUGGGACUGAGACACGGCCCAGACUCCUACGGGAGGCAGCAGUGGGGAAUUUUCCGCAAUGGGCGCAAGCCUGACGGAGCAAGACCGCGUGCGGGAUGACGGCCUAAUGGUUGUAAACCGCUUUUCUCUGGGAAGAUGAUGACGGUACCAGAGGAAUCAGCCUCGGCUAACUCCGUGCCAGCAGCCGCGGUAAUACGGAGGAGGCAAGCGUUAUCCGGAAUUAUUGGGCGUAAAGCGUCCGUAGGUGGUUAUUCAAGUCUGCUGUCAAAGCGUGGGGCUUAACUCCAUAGAGGCAGUGGAAACUGGAUGACUUGAGUGCGGUAGGGGUCGAGGGAAUUCCCAGUGUAGCGGUGAAAUGCGUAGAUAUUGGGAAGAACACCAGUGGCGAAAGCGCUCGACUGGGCCUGCACUGACACUGAGGGACGAAAGCUAGGGGAGCGAAAGGGAUUAGAUACCCCUGUAGUCCUAGCCGUAAACGAUGGAUACUAGGUGUUGCUCGUCAUCGACCCGAGCAGUGCCGUAGCCAACGCGUUAAGUAUCCCGCCUGGGG
rnacentral:rRNA from 1 species